AUUGAACGCUGGCGGCAUGCCUUACACAUGCAAGUCGAACGGUAACGCGGGGCAACCUGGCGACGAGUGGCGAACGGGUGAGUAACGCAUCGGAACGUGCCCAAUAGUGGGGGAUAGCCCGGCGAAAGCCGGAUUAAUACCGCAUACGACCUACGGGUGAAAGCAGGGGAUCGCAAGACCUUGCGCUAAUGGAGCGGCCGAUGUCAGAUUAGGUUGUUGGUGGGGUAAAAGCCCACCAAGCCGACGAUCUGUAGCUGGUCUGAGAGGACGACCAGCCACACUGGAACUGAGACACGGCCCAGACUGCUACGGGAGGCAGCAGUGGGGAAUUUUGGACAAUGGGCGCAAGCCUGAUCCAGCCAUGCCGCGUGCGGGAUGAAGGCCUUCGGGUUGUAAACCGCUUUUGUUAGGGAAGAAAUCUUUUGAGCUAAUACCUCGGAAGGAUGACGGUACCUAAAGAAUAAGCACCGGCUAACUACGUGCCAGCCACCGCCGUAA
rnacentral:rRNA from 1 species